UACAGAGGUCUCAAGCGUUGUUCGGAUUCAUUGGGCGUAAAGGGUGCGUAGGUGGCGGGGUAAGUCAGGUGUGAAAUCUCGAGGCUCAACCUCGAAACUGCACUUGAUACUGCCUUGCUAGAGUACUGGAGAGGAGAUUGGAAUUUACGAUGUAGCAGUGAAAUGCGUAGAUAUCGUAAGGAAGACCAGUGGCGAAGGCGAAUCUCUGGACAGUUACUGACACUGAGGCACGAAGGCCAGGGGAGCAAACGGG
rnacentral:rRNA from 1 species